ACGGAGGGUGCAAGCGUUAAUCGGAAUUACUGGGCGUAAAGCGCACGCAGGCGGUUUGUUAAGCGAGAUGUGAAAUCCCCGGGCUCAACCUGGGAAUUGCAUUUCGAACUGGCAAACUAGAGUACGAGAGAGGGGGGUAGAAUUCCAGGUGUAGCGGUGAAAUGCGUAGAUAUCUGGAGGAAUACCGAUGGCGAAGGCAGCCCCCUGGUUCGAUACUGACGCUCAGGUGCGAAGGCGUGGGGAGCAAACAGG
rnacentral:rRNA from 1 species